GACGACGCUGGCGGCGUGCCUAACACAUGCAAGUCGAACGGUAACAGGCCCUUCGGGGUGCUGACGAGUGGCGGACGGGUGAGUAAUGCGUGGGAAUCUACCUGGCAAUGGGGGAUAACCCGGGGAAACUCGGGCUAAUACCGCAUACGCCCCAUGGGGGAAAGCGGGGGACCUUCGGGCCUCGCGUUGUCAGAUGAGCCCACGUCCGAUUAGCUAGUUGGUGGGGUAAUGGCCUACCAAGGCGACGAUCGGUAGCUGGUCUGAGAGGACGACCAGCCACACUGGGACUGAGACACGGCCCAGACUCCUGCGGGAGGCAGCAGUGGGGAAUUUUGGACAAUGGGCGAAAGCCUGAUCCAGCGAUGCCGCGUGGGUGAAGAAGGCCUGCGGGUUGUAAAGCCCUUUCGAUGGGAAAGAAAAGCCUGGAGCUAAUACCUCCGGGUCUUGACGUUACCCAGAGAAGAAGCACCGGCUAACUCCGUG
rnacentral:rRNA from 1 species